ACCAGCGGAGGGAUCAUUACUGAGUUACCGCUCUAUAACCCUUUGUGAACAUACCUACAACUGUUGCUUCGGCGGGUAGGCCGUCCCCUGAAAAGGACGCCUCCCGGCCCGGACCGGACCCCCCGCGGGACCGGACCCGGCGCCCGCCGGAGGAUAACCAAACUCUAUUGUAACGACGUUUCUUCUGAGUGGCAUAAGCAAAAUAAUCAAAACUUUUAACAACGGAUCUCUUGGUUCUGGCAUCGAUGAAGAACGCAGCGAAAUGCGAUAAGUAAUGUGAAUUGCAGAAUUCAGUGAAUCAUCGAAUCUUUGAACGCACAUUGCGCCCGCCAGCAUUCUGGCGGGCAUGCCUGUUCGAGCGUCAUUUCAACCCUCAAGCUCUGCUUGGUGUUGGGGCUCUACGGUCGACGUAGGCCCUCAAAGGUAGUGGCGGACCCUCCCGGAGCCUCCUUUGCGUAGUAACAUUUCGUCUCGCACUGGGAUCCGGAGGGACUCUUGCCGUAAAACCCCCCAAUUUUCCAAAGGUUGACCUCGGAUCAGGUAGGAAUACCCGCUGAACUU
rnacentral:rRNA from 1 species